UCACUGAGGUGUAUGAUUUUUGUAUCCAGCUGCACAGUGGCCUUCCUGUAUGUGAUUACCUGCCUGGUUUGACACAUUUGCUCGCAGAAGAAAUAGAGGAGAUGCCGAAAC